CUUGGCUGCUUCAUAUUGAGGGUUUCUCUUGUUAUAGGUAAACUUCUGCUCCUGGGAUGUGUGUCACAGGGAGGCAGAAGCAAACUUUUGGGGACAAAGAAAAGGUAAUGACUUCUGAUGAUGUUUUUGAUGGCUCAGAGGUUUCCUCAUAAACACACAGAAACAUUAAGCAGAGAGGAAGAGGAUGGAUUUUGGAAGGAUGUUCCUUGGAGCUGGUCUGGGCUGCAGCCACCUCUGGGAGUGGUUCCAGUCACUGGCUGCUUCUCUGGCAUUUGGGAGAGAUUUACUUUGUCUUGCCCUCAUGGAGCGCAUGCACAGUAUUCCUGAGGCCCUGGAACAUGCACAUAUGGUGACACAUCUCUCUGUUCCAGCAAGAAGACAGGAAAAGUGGAACUUCACAGACAUGGAGGUCAUGCUUUGGAUUCAUUACCUUAUGGAGCAGCAGCAUCUUUUUUUCCCAUGUGAAGCCUACAGAAAGGAAGAAGGAGUUUCACUUAGAGUUCUUGCUGGAUCUGUCAGCUCCACAAGUUGUUCUGUUUUGCCUAGGAUUUAGUCACCAGUGAACAAUGUUAAUAAAUCAUUCUCAUGACAGCACUGAAAUACAGUCUUUUGGAUGCUUGGGAAGUGGGGUAAACAGGUAAAGCUGGA